rnacentral:rRNA from 1 species
UACCAGCACCCCGAGUGGUCGGGACGUUUAUUGGGCCUAAAGCAUCCGUAGCCGGUUCUACAAGUCUUCCGUUAAAUCCACCUGCUUAACAGAUGGGCUGCGGAAGAUACUAUGGAGCUAGGAGGCGGGAGAGGCAAGCGGUACUCGAUGGGUAGGGGUAAAAUCCGUUGAUCCAUUGAAGACCACCAGUGGCGAAGGCGGCUUGCCAGAACGCGCUCGACGGUGAGGGAUGAAAGCUAGGGGAGCAAACAGG